UACAGAGGGGGCAAGCGUUAUUCGGAAUUACUGGGCGUAAAGGGCGCGUAGGCGGGAUGGCAAGUCGGUCGUGAAAUCCCUCGGCUCAACCGAGGAACGUCGAUCGAUACUGCUGUUCUUGAGGAUUGCAGAGGAGACUGGAAUUCCCGGUGUAGCGGUGAAAUGUGUAGAGAUCGGGAGGAACACCGGUGGCGAAGGCGGGUCUCUGGGCAAUUCCUGACGCUGAGGCGCGAAAGCGUGGGGAGCAAACGGG
rnacentral:rRNA from 1 species